ACUGUAAUGUGGGCACUUAUAGU
rnacentral:miRNA from 2 species